rnacentral:rRNA from 1 species
UACGGAGGGUGCGAGCGUUAAUCGGAAUCACUGGGCGUAAAGCGUGCGUAGGCGGCUUUGCAAGUCAGACGUGAAAGCCCUCGGCUCAACCGAGGAAUUGCGUUUGAAACUGCUUAGCUAGAGUCUCGGAGAGGUUGGCGGAAUUCCAGGUGUAGGAGUGAAAUCCGUAGAUAUCUGGAGGAACACCGGUGGCGAAGGCGGCCAACUGGACGAGUACUGACGCUGAGGUACGAAAGCGUGGGGAGCAAACAGG